GAAAUGAAGUUCUUGUUCCAGUGUCCAUGCUGCUCUUGCUUCUGCUUCAUGAAACCAAAGCAGGGCAAACCAAAAGCUGUAGAUUCAAAACCAAAGGAAGAGAAGAAAAAAGAGGAGAAGAAACCUGAGAAGAAAGAAGAAAAGAAAGAAGAAAAGAAAGAAGAGAAGAAAGAAACCAAAGCUGAGAAGGCCGAGUGAGAGCUCUAUUUCAAGAAAACGCAAUUAAUUAUCCCAUUUUAUUUCUGUUUCUAUUUCUAUGCUAUGUUAUGGAUGCUUAAGUAACUUGUAACAUUUCUUGAUUAAUAAAAUUUUCUAUUUUGCCAA
rnacentral:lncRNA from 1 species